rnacentral:lncRNA from 1 species
GGACUAUUCCCCUAACCAAUGAAUACUGAAGACAGUGACAAACCAAGAGGUUUGAGUCAGGAUUUGGUUGCUAUCAAGUUUGGCUAUACCUGGAGGCACAAUGCAAUCUUCAGACCUGUUUGAACAAUUUGGUUUGCAGACUUUGAGUCCACCUGCACUUUCCCAGCUGUUGCUCCUUGUUCGUUACAUGAUCCUUAGUCUCACAUGAGUGUUCAAACUACUGUAACUUUCUGCAGCCCCAAAAGCUUCUUUGUCAGAACAUUUCUGUCUUUUUUUUUUUUUUUUUCCAGUGGCUGUCCAGCUCUGACACAGCCACUGAGCCUGACACACAUCGUUGUUGGCAGCAGCGCAAAUUAGUGCUCCAGUGACAGCCACCCCGUGGCAGAAAUGCCUUUGCAAGUUAGGAUGCUCAGAGAUCUGUAAGCCUGGGGAAAGCACAGCCUGGAGAGAUGGAGCCGUGGCAAGCCGAGAGAGGUGAGGACAACUGGAAAACCCGACAAGAAACAUCAAAAGAGAAAUAUGAAGCUGAGAUUUGAAAAGUGCUUAUGAGGAAGAAAUGGUUCCAGACACCUGUCUCGUUUUCUCCAGACACACCUGGGAAAUGAAGACAGCUGUGUUGCUGGUGAGUGGAAAUUUAUUUCUGGAUUUCUCAACUACUGAUAUUUUAUUUAUAUUAUAUAUAUAUAUAUAUAUAUAUAUAUAUAUAUAUAUAUAUAUUUAACAUUUUGUUUCAAUUCAGUAGUUUUAAAACAAGCUGUUCAUGGUAGACUGCUUAGAGAUAAAGACACCAAACUAUUCCAAAUCAAUCUAUAUGAUGAAAAAACAAAUACCAUCAGUACUUAUUGCUUUUUUGCUAACAUUGCACAUCUCAUCACUGUCAUAAUUGAUUUGAAGUGAUCCAAUACAGCAUAAUAGAAAAUGAACAUUUCAAAAGAGGGGAAGGAGGAGGGAGAAAGGGGGUGGUGGUGUCAAGAAUAUAUUCAAAAGUUGGAUACAAAUGUGUAACGGACAUGAUCUUUACAGUAAGCACUAGCAAUUAAUAUAGUCCUUUAAAGUGUCAUAGCAGAUAUUACCAGUCACAUUAGGCAGUAUUAGUUUGGAUAAGAAAAAAGUUUACUUGAUUUGAUAGAAAAGCAAAAGAAAAAAAUGUUGUUCGGUUCUGCUAAACUAAAAGAUGCCGCAAACAUAAAUGACAACAAUUCCUGAAAGAUUGAUAAACAAAAAUCUAUAACAACAAUAGUCUCAAAGCAAGAGAGAUUAGAAAGGGGUUUGUGCUAAGAAAUCUCAGUGCAGCAGCCUAUGGAAUAC